CAGUCGCCGCGGUAAUACGUAGGGUGCGAGCGUUAAUCGGAAUUACUGGGCGUAAAGCGUGCGCAGGCGGUUUUGUAAGACAGGCGUGAAAUCCCCGGGCUCAACCUGGGAAUGGCGCUUGUGACUGCAAAGCUAGAGUGCGGCAGAGGGGGAUGGAAUUCCGCGUGUAGCAGUGAAAUGCGUAGAUAUGCGGAGGAACACCGAUGGCGAAGGCAAUCCCCUGGGCCUGCACUGACGCUCAUGCACGAAAGCGUGGGGAGCAAACAGGAUUAGAUACCCGGGUAGUCCCUGUCUCUUAUAC
rnacentral:rRNA from 1 species